rnacentral:lncRNA from 1 species
AGGAGCCCUGGGAUGCCGGUUGAUGCGAGCGGAACGGAGAGGGGAGCUGCGUCUCGUCGUCUUCAUCCAUGGCGGCGGCGGCGGCCGAGGGCACUGGCUGCGGCGGCCGAGAGGACUGGCAGCGGCGGCCGAGCGCACUGGCAGCGGCAGGGGAAGGGGCGAGGGCACUGGCGGCGGCGGCUGAGGGAACUGGCGGCGG